GUAGUCCUUGGCAGUGCCAGACCCAAGCAACCCUCAGCGCUCCACACUCGCUGGGCAGCCCACGCACCCCACCACAGGCUGCUGCCCACCGCCCCAUGCCAGCCAUGGGUGCCCAUAUCCCUCAACUGCCGUGCCACAGCUCACCUUGGCUACCCAGGCGUGGUGUCCUGGGGCCCUUGCUGUGCUCUGCAGGCGCUGAUCUUUUCAGAAAACCAACCGUGAACUGGGUUCUGGGUAUGAACCAGCGAUGGCAAGCUUUUCAGAGCUUUCAAUGGUACAAACUGCAGCACGCAUGUGUGGAUUUGUCAGCACUGGUAUGUAUGGCUCCCCUACAGCUGGUGUCAAGCCACCAGCUUGCACCUCUGAGCAGACACAGCUGGCAGGACACAGCGCAAUGGCACACAGAAUUUCCACCACCGAUGCGAUAGCAUUCUUGUGGUACCACAGGAAUGAGGAAGGCAUGAGUUCUGCACAUCAUGACCCUUGUCUUUAGUAACAUAACAAGCCCCUGACUCAAAAAAAAAAAAAAAAGACUAGGGAUGUACUUCAGUGUGGAGGAAUUAGGUUCAAACCCCAGGACCCACCCUGACACGAAGACUCCCUUAUGUGGCCUGAAUGCCAGAAAGAAAAGUACAAGGUACCAUACAACACUUUUUUUUUAAAGGGAGGGUUUGUCUUGCUUUGUUUUGUUUCUCCUGUUAAAACUCAUGCAUGUGUAGAAUCUAUAAACAGUUUAUGAGAACUGAUCUUAUGACACAUGAUGAAAUGAACAGAUACUUUGAAGAAAAAGAGACUCUAAAGUACCCAGUGCUGAUCCUGGAGUGUCAUAAUGUGAAACCCAGCAAUAGUAUUAUUCUUUGUUCAAAGUGAUAUUAGCCUGUUUGGGUUUAUUCAGGCUUAACAUAAUUGAAGAUAUGGAUAACUGCAUGUAUGUAAGAUUGAUAACCAUAUUUCUAAGUUUUUGUUGGAUAGUUGAACAGAACUGGUUGCCAUCUCACUGUUUGAAUCCCCACUUUAUAUGCUCCACUUUAGUAUUUUAAAUAACUAUUUGUAAGAAAACAAUCUGUAGUUAUCAACUAGUGAUUUCUUACUGUUUUUCUUUGAAAUUAUGAAUUCUACCCAUUUUCUGUUUUGUUUAGUCUUUCUUUAAAUUAAAAAAAAAAAAAAAAGAUACUACAGUACCCAGUGCUGAUCCCGGAGUGUCAUGAUAUGAAAUCCAGCAAUACUAUUAUUCUUUGUUCAGAAUGAUUUUAACCUGCUUUAGUUUGUUUGAUCUAAAUAUAAAUCAAGAUAUGGAUAACUGCAUGUAUGUUUAAGUGUAUAGGAUUGACAACCAUGUUACUAAGUUUUUGUUGGACAGUUGAACAGAACUGUUUGCAGUCUCGCUGUUUGAUUUCCCACUAUACAUGUUCUAUUUUUGUAUCUUGAACAACUAUUUGUAAAAUGACAAUAUAUAAACAUUAACUAGUGA